AAAACCUGACGCGGACCUUGUUGACCCGGGCUGUGUCUGAGCCGCGUUGAUGAUAGCUGUGUCUGCAUCGGGGGCGUCCUCUGCUCCUUUGGCCUCGUGUGUUAAAUACGUCCCUGUUUGAACCACAGACAUGAGCUCUGCAGACUGGGUUCCCCGUGGGGCAAGUUUUGACUGACAGCAGACACCAGCAGCGAUGUGAUAGCGUUACUACUAAAGUAUCAGUGGCAUACAACAUGCAAUUUCC